rnacentral:rRNA from 1 species
GGGCCCGCACAAGCGGUGGAGUAUGUGGUUUAAUUCGAUGCAACGCGAAGAACCUUACCAGGGCUUGACAUCCUGCGAACCUCUGGGAAACCGGAGGGUGCCUUCGGGAACGCAGUGACAGGUGGUGCAUGGCUGUCGUCAGCUCGUGUCGUGAGAUGUUGGGUUAAGUCCCGCAACGAGCGCAACCCACGUCUUUAGUUGCCAGCAUUUAGUUGGGCACUCUAGAGAGACCGCCGGUGACAAACCGGAGGAAGGUGUGGAUGACGUCAAGUCAUCAUGCCCCUUACGUCCUGGGCUACACACGUACUACAAUGGCAGGUACAGAGGGCAGCGAAGUCGCGAGGCUAAGCAAA